AUCCUUUCGCAGUGGCAGUAUCGUAGCCUAUGAGGUUUGUCCGAGGCGCGAUUAUUGCUAGUUGAAAACUUUACCCAAUACCCCGCCUUGACGACUUGAAAUAGUCGGUGAUGGCAAUUUUUGAUGGUCUCUAAGGAGA
rnacentral:snRNA from 1 species